UGGCGGGCCUCCCCGCAUUGUAAUUUAGCCAACCUGGUCAGAUGCGGAAGCAAGCAGCCACAACUAAAGAAACAAGUGCCGGGGGUCUGGCUCGCCUCUAA
rnacentral:SRP_RNA from 1 species